rnacentral:lncRNA from 1 species
GUAUUUGUAGUAUAUGUUCUUGUCUGCAAUGCUUUGCUAAAAUUGGGUACUUUAAAAUCAUGUGGCUUUGAUUUUUGUUCUUCACAAACUGUUAGAAUGUGUCUUUGUCAUUAAAUAUUUAGGACUUUGUAUUUAGUUUACACGCUUAAUGUAUAAUUCCUCAUGUCAAGUUAUAGACUAAUUGCUCUUAUUACAUCCCUAUAUGCUCCAUUAAAUUUUAUUUUUUUUGCAUAUGAAUGUGUCCGGGAAAGUCGUCAUGCCUAGAUUUCUGAUAAUUCAUAUUAGGCUCAUCUUUAACUUUCCAUCCAUNN